CCCUUUGUUGUCCGACUCUGUUGCCUCCGGGGCGACCCUGCCUUCGGGCGGGGGCUCCGGGUGGACACUUCAAACUCUUGCGUAACUUUGCAGUCUGAGUAAACUUAAUUAAUAAAUUAAAACUUUUAACAACGGAUCUCUUGGUUCUGGCAUCAAU
rnacentral:misc_RNA from 1 species